rnacentral:misc_RNA from 1 species
GAUGAAGAACGCAGCGAAAUGCGAUAAGUAAUGUGAAUUGCAGAAUUCCGUGAAUCAUCGAAUCUUUGAACGCACAUUGCGCCCCCUGGCAUUCCGGGGGGCAUGCCUGUCCGAGCGUCAUUUCUGCCCUCCAGCCCGGCUGGGUGUUGGGCGCUGUCCCCCCGGCGACACGCCCCAAAGGCAGUGGCGGCGCCGCGUCGGGUCCUCGAGCGUAUGGGGCUUUGUCACCCGCUCGGGACGGACUCGUCGGCGCUGGUCUUCCUCCAGGCGACCCUUCGGGGCUCGUCUUCCUUCGGUUGACCUCGGAUCAGGUAGGGUUACCCGCUGAACUUAAGCAUAUCAAUAAGCGGAGGA